AUGAAACGACUGAAGACCCGCAAGGAGAGGAGUCAAAUAAGAGGUGGCUGGAAAGAGACUUCAAAGAUCAAGUCAAAUCACCAUCAUCAUCACCAUCGCCAUCGCCAAAGCAACUUAGAUAUGGCACAUUUGCAUAACUGCUGUCAUGCUAGUUGUCAUUGUUCUUCAAGGAGAAAUCCACCAUUUCCAAGUAUUGUUCCCUCUGUGCAGGAGCCCAGUAUCAUCACAGACGGCCGCCUGACAGGACACCAUGGCCUGUUUAACCAUGAGGUGAAGUCUAUUGAUUUUGAACGCUUGCUAAGUGAACAGCCAAAACUGGAGGAACAAAGAAAAGAAAAGAACACUGUAAUUUCACAUUCAUCUUCAGCAUUGCACAAUUCUGCUCCAAUGUCCACUGAUGGUUUGUUGGGAGCUGAUACAGAUGUUGGGAGCUGUGUGCCAUUCAGAAAAAAUACAGACCCUGCUUCAAAAGACCACACUGACUGCCAAGAGAAAGAAAAGAAAAACAUGCAGUUUGAUUCAAAGCAAUCAGAUGUCACAACAGAGGAGAAACCACAACAACACCUCGCUCUUUCAUGUCAAAGUUUUCAAAGCAGCCACUCGUCUAAACACAGCUUCCUCGAUGUACUAACAACAGAAACCAAGUGGACAUGUGUCGUGUCUGAAAACAGCAGAGAAUCACUGCUGACUCCAGUUGUUGACAGAGACAAUAUAAAGACUUUCAACACAAAUGUAAAAGAACGUGUGAUUUCUACUCUUGUGCAAACCCCAACUCUCAGUUCAGCCAACAGCUGUGAGAUACAGGACAGAACGCAAGAUCCAAAGUAUGUAAUGAAGUUUGUCAGUGCAGUGGCAGCACGUUUGUGUCACCAUCUGAAGCUUCCGUCAAUGAGCAGGAGAGACGUGCUGUCAGAGAGCAGGGAGGUUUUGUUGAACUCUCUGAGGAAAAGGCAUGGACCGUGGCUUCAAGAGAACCUCCUUAGACUUCAGCAACAUCGUAGCUUUGCUGUGCAUCCCACAAAGAAAGCCCAAGAUCAUGAUCAAGAGCCAACCAGGAAAAAUGAAGAGGAUCUCUUUGCUGCAGAUACCUCUUUUAAUAUGCCAGCAAAUAGACAUGCCAGCUGGAAGACCAGUCCACAGCCACACUGCAGUCAAAAACAGGUUACUGAGUGGCUGGUGAGCCCUGCGGAUACGGCCGACAGUGUUUUGGAUGAUAUCCUCAGACCAAGUCUCUCUCCUCCAUUGUUCAUGAACUUUCAGACCUGUGAAGCUCCAGAAAGCAUUUUGUUUGCUCCUUCUACCACUUUAUGCCAGAGAGAAGUGGCUUCUGUACCUGAGAACUGGCAAGGUGGUUUAAACUGGUCAAAGAGCAAAAAUUCAGCUAUGUUUGGUUCCUUUGAAAAUAGCUUCAUGGACCAAUCCAGCUUAUUUGGAAACAGGAGCCUACAGUACUCUGGCAGCAACCCCCAGCCCUUUUUUCCUUACCAAUUGCAGCUGCCAGAUACAUACACAGGAGAGCCAAUGCACAUUGCCCAGCAGGAAGACCCAUUUGGAACUGACAGGUACUCGUGUGUUCCCUCUUUUCCUGCCCCAGUUCACCAUCAGAGCAAUCAUUUCCAACCUUCGAGCCAGUUCAGUCACCCUUCAGCUUGUUCUCCUCUGAAGUCCCAGCACACUGGUAUGAUGCACUACCCUCCGUCAUUCAUUCUUGAGAGAGACCCUGCACCUUCCCUUUCUGCUUUCCUGAGCCCUGAGCAAUGGUCCUUCCCUCCUAUGAGACUGUACUAAUGUGUGGUAAAGCUCUCCAUAGAGGCAUGGCUAUCAAUAUUUCUAUGACUGAUUAAAGUACAAUUGUCCUUUAAUUUAUGCACUUCAAGGUUUUUGUUUAGUCAGUGAGAAACACGUUAUGUUCCCAUAUUAAUAUAACCAUAGCAUUAAGCAUAGAUGCAAUAGCUAUCCACUGAAGAGUAGCCUGUCUUCUUCUAUUGUCCUGUUUUUGCUGAGUUAAGUAGCCAUGCAAUUAUGCAUCAUUUUCAACCUUUUGAAGCAUUUAUGUUUAUUUUUGACUUCUGUACAAUUAAAAACACAGAUGUUAUAAUGGAAUAUUAUUUGUUUGUGAAAGUUGUGCAUCCCUUUAAAUGCCAAACAGUAAUUUAAAAGAAAUUUGUAGAAAUUGCAUAUAUACGUCAAACACUGCAAAACAUAAAAUUAACAAAAGCUGCUCUUACAUUUAUAACACAUUACAUUGUAUUUUACAACAUCAUUUCAAGGUUAAUUGAGUAAAACAACAAAU
rnacentral:lncRNA from 1 species